rnacentral:lncRNA from 1 species
ACACACUUUAGAAUGGGCAAGGAAUUUGAUAAAUGUUUCUCCAGAGAAGAUACACAGUAUCGAACAGAAAGUGAUCAGAAUGGUUCAUUAGUAGGAAAUACAAAUCAAAACGGUAACAAAAUACCAAUUCACACCUGCUGGGGUGGUUUAAAUAAAGACAAAAGUUGAAGAGCGGCUGUCGGAUGUGGACAAACAAGACCCUUCGAGCAUCACUGAAUGAGGAGAGAGCUCAAGCACUUUAGCGGCCAUUCAAAAUGAUACAACGUCAACAGCAACAAUCUCACUUCUCAUAAUUGACCCAAAGGAUUGGAUGCAAGCUGUUGAUUGAUGUUUACAUUAUGUGUUAUAAUAUAGGGCCAGAGUGACUGCUCAUUGGAUGAAGAUGCUUGCCAACAAGCCUGGUGACCUGAGUUCAAUCCCCAGGAUUCUAGAUGGACUGACUCCUGCUGCAAACCCAUCAAAUUGAAUACUGCACCAGUGAACAGGGAAUGAAUGACAUGCACUGUGACAUGGAAGAGAGCAUCCAUCCAUCCAUCCAUCCAUCCAUCCAUCCAUCCAUCCAUCCAUUAUAUCUAUCUAUCUAUCUAUCUAUCUAUCUAUCUAUCUAUCUAUCUAUCGAUCUAUCUAUCCAUCCAUUAUAUCUAUCUAUCCAUCCAUCCACCCAUCCAUCCAUUAUCUCUAUCUAUCUAUCUAUCUAUCUAUCUAUCUAUCUAUCUAUCUAUCUAUCUAUCUAUCUAUGCAUCCAUCCAUUAUAUCUAUCUAUCUAUCUAUCUAUUCAUCCAUCUAUUAACUAUUUAUGUCAUCUCUAUAUCUAUCUGUCUGUCUAUUAUUUUUAUAUUUAUAGACCUUUGAUUGUUGUAUCCCUAGAAUACCAAGACACAGGAAAGAAGAGCAGGUCAGCAAAUGCUUACAGUGUAAUUGGAUAUCCACAGGCCGUGAAGCUGGAUCCCUUCCUCACACUGCAUACAAAUGGAUUAAAGACUUACAUGCAAGAUCUGAACCCAUGUAGCCCUCAGAGGAAAGCACAUCUAUAAAUCUUCUCCAUCUUGG